UACGUAGGGUGCAAGCGUUAAUCGGAAUUAUUGGGCGUAAAGAGCUCGUAGGCGGUGUGUCACGUCGUUCGUGAAAACCUGCAGCUUAACUGUGGGCGUGCGGUCGAUACGGGCAUCACUGGAGUUCGGCAGGGGAGACUGGAAUUCCUGGUGUAGCGGUGAAAUGCGCAGAUAUCAGGAGGAACACCGGUGGCGAAGGCGGGUCUCUGGGCCGAUACUGACGCUGAGGAGCGAAAGCGUGGGGAGCAAACGGG
rnacentral:rRNA from 1 species